AUUGAACGCUGGCGGCAGGCUUAACACAUGCAAGUCGAGCGGGGUGAUGGUGCUUGCACUAUCACUUAGCGGCGGACGGGUGAGUAAUGCUUAGGAAUCUGCCUAUUAGUGGGGGACAACAUCUCGAAAGGGAUGCUAAUACCGCAUACGUCCUACGGGAGAAAGCAGGGGAUCACUUGUGACCUUGCGCUAAUAGAUGAGCCUAGGUCGGAUUGGCUAGUUGGUGGGGUAAAGGCCUACCAAGGCGACAAUCUGUAGCGGGUCUGAGAGGAUGAUCCGCUACACGGGGACUGAGACACGGCCGAGACUCCUACGGGAGGCAGCAGUGGGGAAUAUUGGGCAAUGGGGGGAACCCUGAUCCAGCCAUGCCGGGUGUGUGAAGAAGGCCGUAUGGUUGUAAAGCACUUUAAGCGAGGACGAGGCUCGUUUGGUUAAUACCCAAGAUGAGUGGAGGUUACUCGCAGAAUGAGCACCGGCUAACUCUGUGCCAGCAGCCGCGGUAAUAC
rnacentral:rRNA from 1 species